AGUGGACACGUGCCAUAUUUUUAGUAGGAGAAGAAGAAGACGCCCUCCAAGGGAAAAGUUACAAACAGCUACUGGUGAGCCAUGGGCGACGAGGAGACCGGUGAUGGCGGGAAUGAAAAGAAGGAGGAAGAGGAGGAGGAGGAGGAGGACGCCGGAGCUGACGACGGGGCGCCCGGCAAGGGAAAGAGGCCACCGGACUCCAUCAUGGUGCAACGGAAGUCCGCCAGAGGGGGCGCCAGCAACGCGGGGGGCACGAACAAGUCGGACAGCGACGGCAAGUCUGCCGCUUCAAUGCUCAUGACCAUCGGUGGCCUGCUCCUCUUCGCCGUCGUCGUUCUGGGCGUCGUCGGCUUCAUUAUCUACAAGAUUACGCAGUCCGAGGACAGCGAGCCGACGGAGGGCACCACCGCUGCGUCAAGCAAGUAUACGUCCGCGUGCUUCGGGAUGCCAAAGCGCUCCUCUGUAUAGCAAACACAGUGUCAAAGAGAAGUCAGCGCUAGAAUUAGAACAGAACAUACCACUUUCUCAAUAUACAAAUUUAUAGGGCGGCAGCGUCAUUGCGCAUACGCGCAAGAAGAAGUAAAGAAUCGUCAGAUUUACGCCCACAGAGGGACCAACGAACGAUUGACCUGCUCUUCAAGUAACUCUUCUGGCAUGCGCUUAUACACACUGGAGAGUUGUGCAAAGGUGUGUGCACGCGUGUCAUCACGAUGACGCGGAAAAUUUCCAACAUACGUAUGUUGGGAAUGCAUAGUGUGUUUCUGUAUGUAUGUACGUGCGUGUGUGCCCUACGUAAUUAAAAUGAAACAUGAAUUUGGAGCCUUUUCCUCUCCUAUGACUGUCUUGCAGCUACAGAAGGAGUGGGGGCCAAUGGGAGUUUAGACGAAAGCGGUAACCCCGUGGUGUCCUUCUUCAACAAGAUCGCCGCCCAGAAAGUUCGCAGGGUCGCCCACAGCGGAGCCCAGCAGUUUCUCGUCUUCGCGGAGGCUCCAGAGAUCUUGAAUGAAGUGCCGGCCUCCAUGAAUAACUAUACCGGAGGCAGCAAUAGCCGCCUGGAUGUACUGGACAACUUAUGAAGAGGCGCGCCAUGUUCCUUUGUCCCGCCAGAGGAGGCGCUGCUGUCCCGCUAUUCUUCAGGAAGUACGCGCUUUUACUGCAUUGCAUUACGGGAUACCUUCGAUGUGCUCUUUCUAGGCUUGUGCGAAUAUCAGUUCCUUGGUUUAAAGCGAAGUCGCAGCGAAUAGCAAUUAGUAUGUAAUAAUUUCGAAGCGAAUAGUUCGAAUAGUG